GUCGUUAACGUUUGGAACAUGGACUUGCUAUCUGGGAGUGCUGGAGUGGUCAUGGAUCGAGACGCUUGGAUUCACUUAUAAACGAUGCAUUGAUUUUGAUUAUUAUUAUGAAACGAUUACAUGCUUCCGCUACACAACUUUUGAGAAUUGAUAUCAUGUAGACAUCUUAUUUGGUGGAAUUUGGGGGUGUUACAUAAUGCUUCGUUGGGACGACACCGUUACAAUGAACAACGGAGCUCUGCAAUGGGUCCACAUAAACAGGCGCAAACGGAUAUCAAGCCACGAGGAGGCAGCCUACAAGUUCGGAUCAACGGUUCAAUCUGACCCAUUUAGGCCCAUUGGGCCAAUGUAUAAAAAUUAAAUCUUUUGCCUUUUUUUAUUUUUCGAGCAAGUACCGGAACUACAACAAAGAAUCUCAAUUAUUUGGUGUACUCUCUAUCA